AAAGUGGGCAGAUUGACAUUUCUGGCAGAACCCUAGGAGCAGAAAAAAAAUCUGAAAAACAAAUAAGCACCUGUGAUGCCCUGUGACUACAGAGUUCCAGUAGAACUAUAAUCUGUGGAAGUUCAGGAAGACUUAAAGCAGGUACAAAGUUAUUUAAAAUUGAAUCACAUGGUCUUCACAAUGUAUAAGAAAACAAAAUUAAUAUAGUUAUAACAGUCUGAAUAUUUUCUUCUUAGAGAGCAGCCAGAGUCACUCCUAUCUCCAUUGCUUACAUGAAUGAGAGAUGUGAGUAUUGCCCAGUGGAACAGAUGAGAAGUAAUCACAGAUAUUAUUGCAAAAAUCAGAAAGUCAAAGAACAACAGAACUCAUUUGACUGUAUGGGGCCUAAGAACUUACCAGUGAGAGAGAAAUGCACAGCACAGUAUCAUAUUUAAAUACAAUGAGCUAGCAAAA